rnacentral:rRNA from 1 species
GCGACUUAUAUUCUGUAGCAAGGUUAACCGUAUAGGGGAGCCGGAGGGAAACCGAGUCUUAAUUGGGCGUUAAGUUGCAGGGUAUAGACCCGAAACCCGGUGAUCUAGCCAUGGGCAGGUUGAAGGUUGGGUAACACUAACUGGAGGACCGAACCGACUAAUGUUGAAAAAUUAGCGGAUGACCUGUGGCUGGGGGUGAAAGGCCAAUCAAACCGGGAGAUAGCUGGUUCUCCCCGAAAGCUAUUUAGGUAGCGCCUCGUGAAUUCAUCUCCGGGGGUAGAGCACUGUUUCGGCUAGGGGGCCAUCCCGGCUUACCAACCCGAUGCAAACUGCGAAUACCGGAGAAUGUUAUCACGGGAGACACACGGCGGGUGCUAACGUCCGUCGUGAAGAGGGAAACAACCCAGACCGCCAGCUAAGGUCCCAAAGUCAUGGUUAAGUGGGAAACGAUGUGGGAAGGCCCAGACAGCCAGGAUGUUGGCUUAGAAGCAGCCAUCAUUUAAAGAAAGCGUAAUAGCUCACUGGUCGAGUCGGCCUGCGCGGAAGAUGUAACGGGGCUAAACCAU